UACGGAGGGGGCUAGCGUUGUUCGGAAUUACUGGGCGUAAAGCGCACGUAGGCGGCUUCGCAAGUCAGAGGUGAAAGCCCGGGGCUCAACCCCGGAACUGCCUUUGAGACUGCGUCGCUCGAAUCCGGGAGAGGCGGGUGGAAUAACUCGUGUAGAGGUGAAAUUCUUAGAUAUGCGAAAGAACACCAAUUGCGAAGGCGGCCCGCUGGACCGGCAUUGACGCUGAGGUGCGAAAGCGUGGGGAGCAAACAGG
rnacentral:rRNA from 1 species